CCUACGGGGUGCUGCAGUGGGGAAUAUUGCGCAAUGGGCGAAAGCCUGACGCAGCGACGCCGCGUGAGGGAUGAAGGUCUUCGGAUCGUAAACCUCUGUCAGCAGGGAAGAACGGUCACUGUGCUAAUCAGCAGUGAAUUGACGGUACCUGCAAAGGAAGCACCGGCUAACUCCGUGCCAGCAGCCGCGGUAAUACGGAGGGUGCGAUCGUUAAUCGGAAUUAUUGGGCGUAAGGCGCUCGUAGGCGGUAUGUCAAGUCAAGGGUGAAAUCCCCGCGCUCAACGUGGGAACUGCCGUUGAAACUGGUGAACUGGAGUGUGUGAGAGGAUAGUGGAAUUCCAGGUGUAGGAGUGAAAUCCGUAGAUAUCUGGAGGAACAUCAGUGGCGAAGGCGACUAUCCGGCACAUAACUGACGCUGAGGAGCGAAAGCGUGGGUAGCAAACAGGAUUAGAUACCCCUGUAGUC
rnacentral:rRNA from 1 species